rnacentral:rRNA from 1 species
AUUGAACGCUGGCGGAAUGCUUUACACAUGCAAGUCGAGCGGCAGCGCGGCCUUCGGGCUGGCGGCGAGCGGCGAACGGGUGAGUAAUGCAUCGGAACAUGCCCAGUCGUGGGGGAUAACACUUCGAAAGAAGUGCUAAUACCGCAUACGUCCUGAGGGGGAAAGCGGGGGAUCGCAAGACCUCGCGCGAUUUGAGUGGCCGAUGUCAGAUUAGCUAGUUGGUGGGGUAAAGGCCUACCAAGGCGACGAUCUGUAGCUGGUCUGAGAGGAUGAUCAGCCACACUGGGACUGAGACACGGCCCAGACUCCUACGGGAGGCAGCAGUGGGGAAUUUUGGACAAUGGGGGCAACCCUGAUCCAGCCAUUCCGCGUGAGUGAAGAAGGCCUUCGGGUUGUAAAGCUUUUUCGGCAGGAACGAAACGGUGGGCUCUAACAUAGUCCGCUAAUGACGGUACCUGAAGAAGAAGCACCGGCUAACUACGUG